AUACGGAGGGGGCUAGCGUUGUUCGGAAUUACUGGGCGUAAAGCGUACGUAGGCGGACUGAUCAGUUGGGGGUGAAAUCCCAGGGCUUAACCCUGGAACUGCCUUCAAUACUGUCAGUCUUGAGUUUGGGAGAGGUGAGUGGAAUUCCUAGUGUAGAGGUGAAAUUCAUAGAUAUUAGGAGGAACACCAGUGGCGAAGGCGGCUCACUGGCCCAUUUCUGACGCUGAGGUACGAAAGCGUGGGGAGCAAACAGGAUUAGAAACCCCUGUAGUCC
rnacentral:rRNA from 1 species